AUUGAGCGCUGGCGGCAUGCCUUACACAUGCAAGUCGAACGGUAACAGGUCUUCGGAUGCUGACGAGUGGCGAACGGGUGAGUAAUACAUCGGAACGUGCCUAGUAGUGGGGGACAACUACUCGAAAGAGUGGCUAAUACCGCAUGAGAUCUACGGAUGAAAGCAGGGGAUCGCAAGACCUUGUGCUACUAGAGCGGCCGAUGGCAGAUUAGGUAGUUGGUGGGAUAAAAGCUUACCAAGCCGACGCUCUGUAGCUGGUCUGAGAGGACGAUCAGCCACACUGGGACUGAGACACGGCCCAGACUCCUACGGGAGGCAGCAGUGGGGAAUUUUGGACAAUGGGCGCAAGCCUGAUCCAGCAAUGCCGCGUGCAGGAUGAAGGCCUUCGGGUUGUAAACUGCUUUUGUACGGAACGAAAAGCCCUGGGUUAAUACCCUGGGGUCAUGACGGUACCGUAAGAAUAAGCACCGGCUAACUACGUGCCAGCCGCCGCCGUAAGAC
rnacentral:rRNA from 1 species